GAAAUCAAUGUUGAUCGGUUGAUAAACAAGAUCUGUGCACGUCUAGAUCAAAUCUGUGAAUCCCUUGUGGCUGGCGUGCGACCAGAAGUAGUAUUGGUGACCAAUUUAGAACAUUGCAUUUGGGUGCUGUUGUGUUGUGUCUGGUUCCGUCAGUUUAUUCACUGCAUGCGCUCCAAUAUCGUAAUUCACUUCGCUGAUUAAACUUCCAGCUCAACAUUACGCCAUUAGUGCCGGCACCGGAGGUGACGUUACAGAAUCAAUUCACAAUGGAAUCAAGUUAGGACUAACCAUGAAGACAACAUAUGCAAGAUCUUCCCUAGUUAAACUUGGUUUGUAUCCAAAACCAAAAUCUCUCAAAUUAAUAAUCCAGGGACAAGGAAAAGUUGGAAAAUCGGCUAUGGUGGUGAGAGUCAUUACAUAUCGUUACAUUAGCGAAUACGAUCCAACAUUAGAGAAAAUCUACACUUUUCAUUCUGUGAUUGACAACGAAGUGAUUUUCUUUGACAUUUUGGACAGUGUUGGCUAGUUAGAUAAAACUGAAUCGUACUCAUUGGAAGCACACAUCAGAUGGGCAGAAGCUUUCAUUUUUAUAUAUUCAGUCACAGAAAUAUAAUAUAAAUAUAAAAAAAAUUACAUAGUGAGCAAUUGUCCGUGUGCACAGUUAUGACUGUGGGCAGUUGUCUGUGAGCAGUUGUCGUGUGAGCGAUCGUCUUGGGGGCAAAAGUCCGGUCACGGAAGUUGCUCGGUUAAUGUGUUUGUUUGAAUAAGACUUACUUCCCCACUCAACAUGCAGCGACCAAAACGAUUAAAUCUUAUCCGACAAAACCGUAAUGCAACUAGGAUUAGAAGGAUUACGAAUGAAAGGACUGAAGAAGAACAAGAAACUGCACGUGAAAAGCAAGGCGGAACAAAGUUUGCCGGGUCAGCUAGUCUACAAUAAAACAAGAAAACGUUUAGGCGGCGGAAGUGCAUCCACAAAAUACAGUUGCCUAGAUGUUUCUGUUGUCCUAGUCGGGAAUAAAAUAGCUCAAGUUGAAGAUAGAAUGAUUUCUUCGGAAAUGGGACAAAAACAAAGUAAAGAGAUUGAAUGUUUUUGUUUUCAUGGUUAGGGAAAGUAUUGAACUUCACAACAUAUGCAACUUCAUAUACACAAAACA